UGUCGAACGAAGUAGCAAUACUUAGUGGCAGACGGGUGAGUACAUGUGGGUAUCUGCCCUAUGGCCUGGAAUAACACGAGGAAACUUGUGCUAAUACCGGAUAAGUCUUUACGGAGAAAGCUUUAUGCACCAUUGGAUGAGCCCGCACUUGAUUAGUUUGUUGGUGGGGUAAUGGCCUUCCAAGACAUAGAUCAAUAGCUGAUAUGAGAGGAUGAUCAGCCACAUUGGGACUGAGACACGGCCCAAACUCCUACGGGAGGCAGCAGUAGGGAAUCUUGCACAAUGGGGGAAACCCUGAUGCAGCGAUGCCGCGUGAGUGAAGAAGGCCUUUGGGUUGUAAAGCUCUUUCGUCGGGGAAGAAAAUGACUGUACCCGAAUAAGAAGGUCCGGCUAACUUCGUGCCAGCAGCCGCGGUAAUACGAAGGGACCUAGCGUAGUUCGGAAUUACUGGGCUUAAAGAGUUCGUAGGU
rnacentral:rRNA from 1 species